rnacentral:rRNA from 1 species
UUGCAGGCUGCAACCCGCCUGUAUGAAGUUGGAAUCGCUAGUAAUCGCGGAUCAGCAUGCCGCGGUGAAUACGUUCCCGGGCCUUGUACACACCGCCCGUCACACCAUGAGAGUCGGGAACACCCGAAGUCCGUAGCCUAACCGCAAGGAGGGCGCGGCCGAAGGUGGGUUCGAUAAUUGGGGUGAAGUCGUAACAAGGUACC